GUUCAGGCCUAACACAUGCAAGUCGAGGGGCAGCGGGGAAAAGCUUGCUUUUCCGCCGGCGACCGGCGCACGGGUGCGGAACGCGUAUGGAACCUGCCCCUGUCAGGGGAAUAGCCCAGGGAAACUUGGAUUAAUGCCCCAUGGUAACACAAUAUCGCAUGAUGAUGUGUUUAAAGAUUUAUCGGACAGGGAUGGCCAUGCGUACCAUUAGCUUGUUGGUGAGGUAACGGCUCACCAAGGCAACGAUGGUUAGGGGCCCUGAGAGGGGGAUCCCCCACACUGGUACUGAGACACGGACCAGACUCCUACGGGAGGCAGCAGUGAGGAAUAUUGGACAAUGGUCGGGAGACUGAUCCAGCCAUGCCGCGUGCAGGAUGACUGCCCUAUGGGUUGUAAACUGCUUUUAUACGGGAAGAAACCUACCUUCGUGAAGGUAGCUGACGGUACCGUAAGAAUAAGGACCGGCUAACUCCGUGCCAGCAGCCGCGGUAAUACGGAGGGUCCGAGCGUUAUCCGGAAUCAUUGGGUUUAAAGGGUCCGUAGGCGGGCCUAUAAGUCAGGGGUGAAAGGCCACGGCUCAACCGUGGGGACUGCCUUUGAUACUGUAGGUCUUGAGUCGUUGUGGGGUUGCCGGAACAUGUGGUGUAGCG
rnacentral:rRNA from 1 species